rnacentral:tRNA from 1 species
AAAGAAUUAGUUAAAAUAUAUAACAUUAAAUUGUCGUUUUAAAAUUAUUAAAAUACUAAUACUCUUUC